GGACUCGCACAAGCGGUGGAUCAUGUGGCUUAAUUCGAUACUAAGCGAAGAACCUUACCUGGGCUAGACAUCUUAGCGACAAUCUUGGGAAACCAAGACUUUCUUCGGACGCUAUGACAGGUGAUGCAUGGCCGUCGUCAGUUCGUGGCUUGAGCUGUUCCCUUAAGUGGGAAACGAACGCAACCCUCAUCGUGUGUUACAAGUGUCACACGAGACUGCUCUCUCACGAGAGAGGAAGGUGGGGAUGACGCCAGGUCAGCAUGUCCCUUGAUGCCCAGGGCUGCACACGUGAUACAAUGGCUGUUACAACGGGACGCAAUACCGCAAGGUGGAGCAAA
rnacentral:rRNA from 1 species